UACGUAGGGUGCAAGCGUUGUCCGGAAUUAUUGGGCGUAAAGAGCUCGUAGGCGGUCUGUCGCGUCUGGUGUGAAAACUCGGGGCUUAACUCCGGGCCUGCAUCGGGUACGGGCAGACUAGAGUGUGGUAGGGGAGACUGGAAUUCCUGGUGUAGCGGUGAAAUGCGCAGAUAUCAGGAGGAACACCGGUGGCGAAGGCGGGUCUCUGGGCCAUAACUGACGCUGAGGCGCGAAAGCUAGGGGAGCGAACGGG
rnacentral:rRNA from 1 species